ensembl:lncRNA
GGACUGCUUGCUGCAUAUGCGCAGGCUUAAAAAUAUACAUUCGGAAAGUUUUUGACUGUUCCUGGAGCUAGCUUAAAUACAGGCCUAGAUUUCAGAUAUCUGGGAAUUACAUCUCUGUUUAAAAAAGAAGAAGAAGAAGAAGAAGAAUCUACAUGCAGAGCUAAACACCUAGCCAACUUGUGUACUAAAACAUUUUCAUUUACUAUCUUCCAGUUUUGUUUUGUUUUAAAAAUAACUUUGAACAAUAAAAAACAUCAUAUCAUGAUAAACCUGAGCCUCUUAGCAGCCUCCCAGCAAAAAGAAAGAAAGAAAGAAAGAAAAAAGCGAUAAAGAAGCUGCCAAAAUCAUCUCAACCAACUCUACUGGUGAUAAAAUUGUAACCUAACUGCAGAGUGGAAGUUUGCAAAGGUGUCAAGACUUCUGAAAGUGGAAGCAAGAUUGAUGGACUGUGGAGCCUGAUGGAGGAAGCUUCUAAAAGCUGUUUAUUCUUAUUAUAUGACUACUUCCAUGCUCUGUCUUGCCUCAUGACUUCUUAGAACAGUCAGGUGAUUAGGGCACUAACCCCUGGUGUUGAAGCCCAAAAUUCAAUGAAUACUUAAUACAAUUUAUACAAAAUAGAGCUGCUCUAAUAGUUGAGAUUGAAAAUGUUCCAUCAAGAGUAAUGGAUAGCCUUGAGGGCUUACUGGGGAAAGGUUGAAACUAAAAUCUUUGUUCUUACUUGAAGGGAGCAGAUCCUGAACCUUGGUCUUCCAUCUCCAAAAGACAGUUCUAAAUCCUUGAUUACUCUGUUAUGCAUAGUAUAGUCUUCUUGACCAAGAAAUUUAUAUUUGCUGCAACAGAUAUAUUCUCUCCUAUACAUUAUUUUGGCAUCAGUGAAUUAAUAUUGCUCCAGUUAAAUUUUAUGUGUGGACAACUUGAGUACAUUAAAUAGGAAAUGUAUGUGGGAUGGAGGAUAUGGUGCCACAAGGUAACUGCAGAGGGGAAUCCAUAUUCUUCUGUGUUUUUCAUCUUCACUACACAUUAAAGAUGCAGCUGCUCUGUUAACAUAAAAUUAUAGAAUCAUAGAAUAUUCUGAGUUGAAAGGGGCCCAUAAGGAUUAUCGCGUCCAACCCCUGAACAGUAAGGUAAAUUGACAUCUCUUCU